rnacentral:tRNA from 1 species
AAGGAAGUGGCAGAGUGGUUACGCGGCUGGCUUGAAACCAGCAUAUGGGGGUUCAAUUCCUCCCUUCCUCG